ACAGCAGUAGCCGCGGUAAUACGAAGGGUGCAAGCGUUAAUCGGAAUUACUGGGCGUAAAGCGUGCGUAGGCGGUGAGUUAAGUCUGCUGUGAAAUCCCCGGGCUCAACCUGGGAAUGGCAGUGGAUACUGGCUCGCUAGAGUGUGUCAGAGGAUGGUGGAAUUCCCGGUGUAGCGGUGAAAUGCGUAGAGAUCUGGAGGAAUACCGAUGGCGAAGGCAGCCAUCUGGCCUAAUACUGACGCUGAGGUACGAAAGCAUGGGGAGCAAACAGGAUUAGAUACCCCCGUAGUCCCUGUCUCUUAUAC
rnacentral:rRNA from 1 species